rnacentral:rRNA from 1 species
UGCGUAGGUGGUUAUUUAAGUCCGUUGUGAAAGCCCUGGGCCUCAACCUGGGAACUGCGGUGGAUACUGGAUGACUAGAAUGUGGUCGAGGGUAGCGGAAUUCCUGGUGUAGCAGUGAAAUGCGUAGAGAUCAGGAGGAACAUCCAUGGCGAAGGCAGCUACCUGGACCAACAUUGACACUGAGGCACGAAAGCGGUGGGGAGCAAACA